rnacentral:SRP_RNA from 1 species
GCCAGGUGUGGUGGUAGGCACCUGUAAUCCCAGCUACUUGGGAGGCUGAGGCAGGAGAAUCACUUGAGCCCGGGAGGCGGAGGUUGCAGUGAGCUGCAAUAGCAGCCCAACCACUGCACUCUCGCCUGGGCAACAGAGUGAAACUCCGUCUCAA